UUGGAUUGGUACCCAUAUUACCUAUAUAGCAAGACUAGUUUUUGCUUACAUAUUAGUGAAUACUUAAGUAACUAAAUAAUUGAACUAGUUCCAUGGUGAAUAUGACAUAUGACAUCAUUUUUGUUUACAAUUCAAUUUUGGCUGAAGUAAUGAAAUUACAGAGUUCCUUGAUGACGGUGUUUGUUCGGUGUUUCAAUAAAGCAGAUCAAAUGAUUUUCCGUUUCAGGUACAUUACAAACAGCACACAAAUUAGUGUCUAUCUUUUUAUGCAGGUUCUAAAGACAGUUCGGCAUGCCAGUGUUUUUUUGGUGGAGAUGGAAAGAAAUUAGAGAAGGCUUCAUAUAUUUCCGCACGAGCAUCCUUAACGGCUAAAUUGGACGAAAUUACACAGCCAGCUUCCACGGCUUGUCUGGCAAAAUAGUCGGCACGUUCAUUAGAUGGGAUUCCAAUGUGGGAUGGAACCCACAGGAAGGAAAGGACCUAGUACGAGGGAUUUUCUGAAGUUUUCCAAUAUGUCUAAGCCUUCCGUGCAGUUCAGAGAGAUCUGAUACCUUGGCAAAAGAUGGAUGUUCAAAAACAGGAAUUGAAGGCGCAACAGUGAUGGGGCUAACUACUGGAUGGUUGAUUUUAGUAUGAGAAGCUGCUAUUUUGCUAUAUUUUAUUUUUGUAAUUCUGCUGUUUAUUUCAUCAUUAAAAUUUCUUAUAUUUUGA